UACGGAAGGGGCAAGCGUUGUUCGGAAUCAUUGGGCGUAAAGGGCGCGUAGGUGGUUCUGUAUGUCUACCGUGAAAGCGUACGGCUCAACCGUAUUUUGUCGGUAGAAACUGCAGGACUUGAGGCUGGGAGGGGCUGGUGGAAUUCCCUGUGUAGCGGUGAAAUGCGCAGAUAUCGGGAGGAACACCUAUGGCGAAGGCAGCUCGCUGGGACGUUACUGACGCUGAGACGCGAAAGCGUGGGGAGCAAACAGG
rnacentral:rRNA from 1 species